ensembl:misc_RNA 7SK 7SK RNA
GGAUAUGAGGACGAUCUGGCUGUGACAUCUGUCACAUUAGCGAUUGCCAGGGUUGAUUUGGCUCCCAUGGCUGGCGAGGCAGCUGUCCUGCUUGCUACCUCGCCACUCC